rnacentral:miRNA from 1 species
UCACCAGAAUGCUAGUUUGUAG